AAGUCGUAACAAGGUUUCCGUAGGUGAACCUGCGGAAGGAUCAUUAUUGAAAUAAUCCUGAUAGGUUGUUGCUGGUUCUCUCGGGAGCAUGUGCACACUUGUCAUCUUUAUAUCUCCACCUGUGCACCUUUUGUAAAUCUGAAUAUCUUUCUGAAUGUCUCGCAUAUUCAGGUUUGAGGAUUGAUCUUUUUCUUUCCUUACAUUUUCAGGUUUAUGUUUUUCAUAUACCCCAAGUAUGUUAUAGAAUGUUAUAAACGGGCCCUUUGUGCCCAUAAAUUUAUACAA
rnacentral:misc_RNA from 1 species